AUUGAACGCUGGCGGAAUGCUUUACACAUGCAAGUCGAACGGCAGCACGGACUUCGGUCUGGUGGCGAGUGGCGAACGGGUGAGUAACAUAUCGGAACGUAUCCAAUAAUGGGGGAUAACGAGUCGAAAGAUUCGCUAAUACCGCAUACGCCCUACGGGGGAAAGCUGGGGACCUUCGGGCCUGGCGUUAAUGGACGGGCCGAUAUCUGAUUAGCUAGUUGGUGAGGGAAAGGCUCACCAAGGCGACGAUCAGUAGCUGGUCUGAGAGGACGACCAGCCACACUGGAACUGAGACACGGUCCAGACUCCUACGGGAGGCAGCAGUGGGGAAUUUUGGACAAUGGGCGCAAGCCUGAUCCAGCCAUUCCGCGUGAGUGAAGAAGGCCUUCGGGUUGUAAAGCUCUUUCGCAAGGGAAGAAAACUUAGCCACUAACAUUGGUUGAGGUUGACGGUACCUUGAUAAGAAGCACCGGCUAACUACGUGCCAGCAGCCGCAGUAA
rnacentral:rRNA from 1 species